CUACGUGCCAGCAGCCGCGGUAAUACGGAAGGUCCGGGCGUUAUCCGGAUUUAUUGGGUUUAAAGGGAGCGUAGGCCGGAGAUUAAGUGUGUUGUGGAAUGUAGACGCUCAACGUCUGACUUGCAGCGCAUACUGGUUUCCUUGAGUACGCACAACGUUGGCGGAAUUCGUCGUGUAGCGGUGAAAUGCUUAGAUAUGACGAAGAACUCCGAUUGCGAAGGCAGCUGACGGGAGCGCAACUGACGCUUAAGCUCGAAAGUGCGGGUAUCGAACAGGAUUAGAUACCCUGGUAGUCCGCACGGUAAACGAUGGAUGCCCGUUGUCAGGCUGUUUCAGCCUGGUGACCAAGCGAAAGCAUUAAGCAUCCCACCUGGGGAGUACGCCGGCAACGGUGAAACUCAAAGGAAUUGACGGGGACCCGCACAAGCGGAGGAACAUGUGGUUUAAUUCGAUGAUACGCGAGGAACCUUACCCGGGCUUGAAUUGCAGACGAACGAUUCAGAGAUGAUGAGG
rnacentral:rRNA from 1 species